AGCCAGCAGCCGCGGUAAUACGUAGGGUGCGAGCGUUAAUCGGAAUUACUGGGCGUAAAGCGUGCGCAGGCGGCCUGAUAAGUCAGAUGUGAAAUCCCCGAGCUCAACUUGGGAACUGCGUUUGAAACUAUCAAGCUAGAAUAUGUCAGAGGGGGGUAGAAUUCCACGUGUAGCAGUGAAAUGCGUAGAGAUGUGGAGGAAUACCAAUGGCGAAGGCAGCCCCCUGGGAUAAUAUUGACGCUCAUGCACGAAAGCGUGGGGAGCAAACAGGAUUAGAUACCCUGGUAGUCCACGCCCUAAACGAUGUCUACUAGUUGUUGGUGGAGUAAAAUCCAUGAGUAACGCAGCUAACGCGUGAAGUAGACCGCCUGGGGAGUACGGUCGCAAGAUUAAAACUUAAAGGAAUUGGCGGGGGAC
rnacentral:rRNA from 1 species